UACAGAGGUCCCAAGCGUUGUUCGGAUUCACUGGGCGUAAAGGGUGCGUAGGUGGUUAGGUAAGUCCGAUGUGAAAUCUCCAGGCUCAACCUGGAAAUGGCAUUGGAUACUAUCUAGCUUGAGGAGUGGAGGGGGGACUGGAAUUCUCGGUGUAGCAGUGAAAUGCGUAGAGAUCGUAAGGAAGACCAGUGGCGAAGGCGGGUCUCUGGACAGUUCCUGACGCUGAGGCACGAAGGCCAGGGGAGCAAACGGG
rnacentral:rRNA from 1 species